GGAAUUUUGGACAAUGGGCGAAAGCCUGAUCCAGCCAUGCCGCGUGUGUGAAGAAGGUCUUCGGAUUGUAAAGCACUUUAAGUUGGGAGGAAGGGCAGUAACCUAAUACGUUAUUGUUUUGACGUUACCGACAGAAUAAGCACCGGCUAACUGCGUGCCACCAGCCGCGGUAAUCAGAAGGGUGCAAGCGUUAAUCGGAAUUACUGGGCGUAAAGCGCGCGUAGGUGGUUCAGUAAGUUGGAAGUGAAAUCCCCGGGCUCAACCUGGGAACUGCUUUCAAAACUGCUGAGCUAGAGUACGGUAGAGGGUGGUGGAAUUUCCUGUGUAGCGGUGAAAUGCGUAGAUAUAGGAAGGAACACCAGUGACGAAGGCGACCACCUGGACUGAUACUGACACUGAGGCGCGAAAGCGUGGGGAGCAAAC
rnacentral:rRNA from 1 species